rnacentral:sRNA from 1 species
GCCAGGUGCGGUGGCGCACACCUGUAAUCCCAGCAGCAUGGGAGGCUGAGGCAGGAGGAUCUUGAAUUCAAAGCCAGCUUCAGCAAUAGUGAGGUGCUAAACAACUCUGUGAGACCCUGUCUCUU